rnacentral:rRNA from 1 species
CCUACGGGAGGCAGCAGUGAGGAAUAUUGGUCAAUGGACGAGAGUCUGAACCAGCCAAGUAGCGUGAAGGAUGACUGCCCUAUGGGUUGUAAACUUCUUUUAUAUGGGAAUAAAAUGUUCCACGUGUGGGAUUUUGUAUGUACCAUAUGAAUAAGGAUCGGCUAACUCCGUGCCAGCAGCCGCGGUAAUACGGAGGAUCCGAGCGUUAUCCGGAUUUAUUGGGUUUAAAGGGAGCGUAGGUGGAUUGUUAAGUCAGUUGUGAAAGUUUGCGGCUCAACCGUAAAAUUGCAGUUGAAACUGGCAGUCUGGAGUACAGUAGAGGUGGGCGGAAUUCGUGGUGUAGCGGUGAAAUGCUUUGAUAUCACGAAGAACUCCGAUUGCGAAGGCAGCUCACUGGACUGCAACUGACACUGAGGCUCGAAAGUGUGGGUAUCAAACAGGAUUAGAUACCCGAGUAGUC